AUAUAUACUUGUUCUAUGUAUU
rnacentral:miRNA from 1 species